UACAGAGGUCUCAAGCGUUGUUCGGAUUCAUUGGGCGUAAAGGGGUGCGUAGGCGGCGCGGUAAGUCGGGUGUGAAAUCUUGGAGCUUAACUCCGAAAACUGCAUUCGAUACUGCCGUGCUUGAGGACUGGAGAGGAGACUGGAAUUUACGGUGUAGCGGUGAAAUGCGUAGAUAUCGUAAGGAAGACCAGUGGCGAAGGCGGGUCUCUGGACAGUUCCUGACGCUGAGGCACGAAGGCCAGGGGAGCAAACGGG
rnacentral:rRNA from 1 species